rnacentral:misc_RNA from 1 species
GAACGCACCUUGCGCCCCUUGGUAUUCCGAGGGGCACACCCGUUUGAGUGUCGUGAAAAUCUCAACCUUCUCGGUUUCUUCUGGAAACCAAAGGAGGCUUGGACUUUGGAGGCCUUUGCUGGCGUCUCUCUCUUUUGAGAGCCCAGCUCCUCUUAAAUGAAUUAGCGGGGUCCUCUUUGCUGGUCCUCGACAUGUGAUAAGAUGUUUCCAUGUCUUGGUUUCUGGCUCUGUUGCUUUUGGGACCCGCUUCUAACCGUCUCGACGAGACAACGUUUGAGCACGUCUCCCGACGCUCUCAACCUCACGAACCCUUGACCUCAAAUCGGGUGAGACUACCCGUUGAACUUAAG